rnacentral:tRNA from 1 species
CACCUGGUGGCUCAGACGGUAAAGCGUCUGCCUGCAAUGCCGGAGACCCGGGUUCGAUCCCUGGGUCGGGAGA